rnacentral:rRNA from 1 species
ACCGGCGAAAUCCUGUCUGAAACUGGCGCACCAUCCGCUAAGGCUAAAUACUCCUGAGAGACCGAUAGCGAAGUAGUACUGUGAAGGAAAGGUGAAAAGGACCCCAAGAAGGGGAGUGAAAAGACCCUGAAACCGUACGCCUACAAGCGGUCGGAGCUGCACUUCGGUGUAGUGACGGCGUGCCUUUUGCAUAAUGAGCCUACGAGUUACCUUGACAAGCGAGUUUAAGCCCUUCAGGGGCGAAGGCGAAGCGAAAGCGAGUCUUAACAGGGCGAGAGCUUGUUGAGGUAGACGCGAAACCGAGUGAUCUACCCAUGGGCAGGUUGAAGUUCCGAUAAUAUCGGAAUGGAGGACCGAACUGGUUAAACGUUGAAAAGUUUUCGGAUGACCUGUGGGUAGGGGGCGAAAGACUAAUCAAACUCGGAGAUAUCUCGUACUCCCCCG